CCCCGGGGCUCCGCAGCAGCCCGCUGGAUAAGCUGCGAUAAGGCUUGUUUUUGCGGAUGUUUUUGUGUCUUUUUAAAGUGAUUAUCAGGAUGUAUAUCCCACGGCCGCCCGAGCUCCGCGGCCGCGGUGCUGUGGUUCGCGUUGCCCCGCACGCACAGCGCAGAGGGUCGCGUUCGGGGCCGGGUAAAAUGGCUGCCAGGGGAAGUCUUUGGGCUCCAAUAAAAGGGGAAGCGUUGACGUGCUGACUCCUCCACCGCUUAAUUGAUUGCGAAAGAUCUUGAUCUUUUGGAGAUAUUCAUAAAGCACUCAGACAUCCUCCAGCAUUCAAGUUUAGUAAAAAGCCUUGAGCUGUGGGAGCCAUCAGACUCGAGAAACGAUGGAGGGGGCUGGCACAAAGCUGCUGAUCCUGCUCCUGCCAGACUGACUCAGAUGAUGUUCUCUGGAGGCCAGAAGAGAUGAGCUGGAGCAAAAGUGUGACACUGGAUGGAAGAAGAAAGGAACCAAUAUCUCUACAGAUCAAGAUUCAUCAAUUAAUCAUGCCCACUGCCCUUCUGGAAGCAUCAGAACUUCAGCAUGUUACACUGGAAACCUGAGAAACAGCACUGCAGCAAAAGAAGGUGCAGCAGUCCAGCCUGCUGGCACUG